AAAGGUUCAAGAUUUAAACACUGUAAAACACUUGGCAUUAUUUUAUUUUCUUCUGUUUAAUUUAAAUUUAUAUUUUAGAUUUAUUAAAAAAAUAUCUGAGUCCAUAUAUGAAAAAACUGUUAAGACUUCGUUUUGGAUCGCGGAGAGUGCGAUGAGAAAGUACGAUGAAAAAAUAUUCUGUUUGUUUCUAUAAAUAAUAUUGCGUUUCGUAUAUCACCGUGACUCAAUUACGAUAUAUUUUAUGUAGUCCUAUUGGAGAAUGUAUAAAUAUAUCUCUAUAUAUUUUUACUCCAACUAUAUUUUAUCUAAUAAUACCAGAUAGACCACAAUACCAAAUUAAGCUUAAAAACUCUUACAAAAUAUUGACACUUUCAGGCACUUACAAAAUAGAAAAAAAAAAUCUUAACUAUAACAAAACAUAUGAACAAAACCAAAUUUUAAUUUAAAACAUUUAU
rnacentral:lncRNA from 1 species